rnacentral:rRNA from 1 species
UACGUAGGGUGCGAGCGUUAAUCGGAAUUACUGGGCGUAAAGCGUGCGAAGGCGGUUCUGAAAGUCAGCUGUGAAAGCCCCGGGCUUAACCUGGGAAUGGCGGUUGAAACUACAGGACUAGAAUCUGGCAGAGGGGGGUGGAAUUCCACGUGUAGCAGUGAAAUGCGUAGAGAUGUGGAGGAACACCGAUGGCGAAGGCAGCCCCCUGGGCUGAGAUUGACGCUCAGGCACGAAAGCGUGGGGAGCAAACAGG